CCUACGGGAGGCAGCAGUGAGGAAUAUUGGUCAAUGGACGAGAGUCUGAACCAGCCAAGUAGCGUGAAGGAUGACUGCCCUAUGGGUUGUAAACUUCUUUUAUAAAGGAAUAAAACGAGGCACGUGUGCCUCUUUGCAUGUACUUUAUGAAUAAGGAUUGGCUAACUCCGUGCAAGCAGCCGCGGUAAGACGGAGGAGCCGAGAGUUGUCCGGAUUUAUUGGGGUUAAAGGGAGCGUAGAUGGGUUGUUAAGUCGGUUGUGAAAGUUUGCGGCUCAACCGUAAAAUUGCAAUUGUUACUGGCAGUCUUGAGUACAGUUGAGGUAGGCGGAAUUCGUGGUGUAGCAGUGAAAUGCUUAGAUAUCACGAAGAACCCCGGUUGCGAAGGCAGCUUACUAAACUGUGACUGACAUUGAUGCUCGAAGGUGUGGGUAUCAAACGGGAUUAGAUACCCGGGUAGUC
rnacentral:rRNA from 1 species